AGUCGAACGCUGAAGCACCAGCUUGCUGGUGUGGAUGAGUGGCGAACGGGUGAGUAAUACGUGAGUAACCUGCCCUUGACUCUGGGAUAAGCCCGGGAAACUGGGUCUAAUACUGGAUGCUACAUGUCACCGCAUGGUGGUGUGUGGAAAGGGUUUACUGGUCUUGGAUGGGCUCACGGCCUAUCAGCUUGUUGGUGAGGUAAUGGCUCACCAAGGCGACGACGGGUAGCCGGCCUGAGAGGGUGACCGGCCACACUGGGACUGAGACACGGCCCAGACUCCUACGGGAGGCAGCAGUGGGGAAUAUUGCACAAUGGGCGAAAGCCUGAUGCAGCGACGCCGCGUGAGGGAUGACGGCCUUCGGGUUGUAAACCUCUUUCAGCAGGGAAGAAGCCACAAGUGACGGUACCUGCAGAAGAAGCGCCGGCUAACUACGUGCCAGCAGCCGCGGUAAUACGUAGGGCGCAAGCGUUGUCCGGAAUUAUUGGGCGUAAAGAGCUCGUAGGCGGUUUGUCGCGUCUGCUGUGAAAGCCCGGGGCUUAACCCCGGGUGUGCAGUGGGUACGGGCAGACUAGAGUGCAGUAGGGGAGACUGGAAUUCCUGGUGUAGCGGUGGAAUGCGCAGAUAUCAGGAGGAACACCGAUGGCGAAGGCAGGUCUCUGGGCUGUUACUGACGCUGAGGAGCGAAAGCAUGGGGAGCGAACAGGAUUAGAUACCCUGGUAGUCCAUGCCGUAAACGUUGGGCACUAGGUGUGGGGGACAUUCCACGUUUUCCGCGCCGUAGCUAACGCAUUAAGUGCCCCGCCUGGGGAGUACGGCCGCAAGGCUAAAACUCCAAGGAAUUGACGGGGGCCCGCACAAGCGGCGGAGC
rnacentral:rRNA from 1 species